UCUAAUAUAUUCGUGGCGAAUCGUAGAACCGAUGGUUAUUUAGUGGCAAAUAGUCCUGGCCUCGUCGCCGUGGAGCGCCGCCGCCGCAGCCGCAGGAUUCGGUUAGCUUCUUCUCCCUCCCUCCUCUGGCCUCGUCGCCGUGGAGCGCCUCCGCCGCAGCCGCGCGACCUGCGGUAGCCGGGCUGGAGUUAGUCAGCGAACCUCCGUCGCGGGUUAUGCGCGAGGGCUUUCGGCAUUUCAGCAAUCAGCAGCUGCAAGGGAACUCACAAGUUCAUUGUGCUAUGUGUUCAACACAAAAUCCGGUCUUCUCCCGUCAGUUUUACCAGUUUGACAUGUACGCUUGUUACAAUGCCUGCACAAACACUUUACCACUAGAGUUCUUCCUAAAAAAUCAGUUAUCUCCACUGAAACUCAUGAGCUCUAUGACUUAUUAUUAUCAGAAUCUCAGUUGCUUGGGAGCUCCACAAUGCCGGACAGGAGGCUCCUUAGCUCCACCAUCACAACAUCCUGCUCACCCUUCACCUACACAUAUAAGUAGAAAUGACAGAUUUAACCAUUAGCAAACUCCCAAUGACAUAUUUAACAGAACAGUAGAAAUGCACAGGCUUCAGUUGCAGGCAAGUCUUUUGGGAACAGUUUACCUCAAUGGUGAAGACGCUCUCUGCAUAACCAUAGAACGUUAUCGUGCUCAGGCUGGUGACCUGCGCAUUGUAGCUCCAUAGUGCUUCCAGCACCUUGGUGAAGACGCCGGCCUUCUUGCAGAAGAUCUUGAGGUGGUACUUGUGUGGCCCAAGAGGAACCAACUCCACCUGACCCUGUGGAGAUGUACGCCGUAGUGAGUCUGUGAGGAAUCAGCGGCGCAUUGCAGCUGCAUUUUGAGGUGAAAAUCGGCAAUGAACCGUGGCGGCGAAGGAUUCAGAACAUGACGCGCUGCCCUGCUUCUCCCGGGCCUCGCCGGGCGAGUCGGCAAGCUGGCGUUGCAGCUCAAGGACCUGGUUCUGGAGCUUCUUGAUGUGAU